rnacentral:rRNA from 1 species
CCUACGGGAGGCAGCAGUGAGGAAUAUUGGUCAAUGGGCGCGAGCCUGAACCAGCCAAGUAGCGUGAAGGAUGACUGCCCUACGGGUUGUAAACUUCUUUUAUAAAGGAAUAAAGUGAGGCACGUGUGCCUUUUUGUAUGUACUUUAUGAAUAAGGACCGGAUAACUCCGUGCAAGCAGCCGCGGUAAUCCGGAGGAUCCGAGCGUUAUCAGGAUUGAUUGGGUUGAAAGGGAGCGUGGAUGGGUUGUUAGGUCAGUUGUGAAAGUUUGCGGCUCAACCGUAAAAUUGCAAUUGAUACUGGCAGUCUUGAGUACAGUUGAGGUAGGCGGAAUUCGUGGUGUAGCGGUGAAAUGCUUAGAUAUCACGAAGAACUCCGAUUGCGAAGGCAGCUUACUAAACUGCCACUGACAUUGAUGCUCGAAAGUGUGGGUAUCAAACAGGAUUAGAUACCCGUGUAGUC